rnacentral:rRNA from 1 species
UACAGAGGUCUCAAGCGUUGUUCGGAUUCAUUGGGCGUAAAGGGCGCGUAGGCGGCCGAUCAAGUCAGAUGUGAAAGUCCUGGGCUUAACCUGGGGACUGCAUUUGAUACUGAUUGGCUUGAAUGCAGGAGAGGAUAGCGGAAUUCCCAGUGUAGAGGUGAAAUUCGUAGAUAUUGGGAAGAACACCGGUGGCGAAGGCGGCCUGCUGGGCUUUAACUGACGCUGAGGCACGAAAAGCAUGGGGAGCAAACAGGAUU